UUGAGAAUUAACAGAAGUUCUGACCAAUCAUUUAAAAUUAUUUGCUCUUUAUGGUUUGGCUCCAUUAAAAUUGAUUAUUGAUAUUUUACAACUUAACUUCUUUCAGGAGAAAAAACAUGGAACCGAACAGCUCAUAGAAUGGAAUGGACAUAAUUUCCACCCUCAGAACACUAGCCAAACUAGCGCCAAAAUAUAGCAACUAAUGGUGUAGUAUAUGAAAGAAGCAGUGAUCUUCAUGCAGUUCCUAGUGGAGAAAUGUCUAAACUACAUUCCAAAUUGGCACACUUACCAAAUAUGUUGACAGUCUUGGCGAGUAGCCCAGAGAUUAAAGGGACUUACAUCUUGAACUCACCCAUUGGACAGGGUCCUUCAAUAACAAGUAAUGAGGCACAUUAGCAGGACAGUACAAUCUACUGAAAAGGAUCUUAGAGAGCUUGGGGCAUAGAACCCCUUCAGGUACUAAAUAUUUUACCCUCAGUUAAGUACUUGUUUAAAAUAAAAUUUUGCUAAUGAGGGUGACAAUUCUUUUCUUCGCUUGUACUAUUCAGUAAGUGAUUGUCAUUAGGGCUGUGUGAAACAGCACCAUUUUGUUUCGACUUCUGUUUUGAUGUUUUGAUGGAACAGUGUUUCAUUUCGAGUUUAGUUUUGUUUCAAAAGCACUAGUCCGUUUCAUUUUGUUGAAACAGUUUCACUAUUUUUACACUGUUUCAAGUUUCUCCCACACUGCCGGAGGAGUCUGGCAGAGCCCUCCCAGGGGUGUGGGUGGGAGGCUGCUGCCACUGGGAGCUGAGCCCCAUGGAGGGGGGCGGAGCUGAGCCCUGGCGCUGUGCUCUGCUUCCCCCCAACAGCUCAGUUCCCCGGGGCUGGGAGCUGCUGGGUGCUGAGCCUGUUGAAGGGAGGCAGCGUGCAGCACCCCCCCUCCACCAGACUCAGCGCCCAGUGACUUGCUGCCUGGUGGAGGGAGGCAGUGUGCAGCACUGGCACUGUACUCCACCUCACUCCACCAGGCUCAGUGCCUAGCGGUUUGCUGCCCAGUGGAGGGAGGUGGCGCACACUGCCGCUGCUGGGAGUGCAGCCCUGGCUCCUCCAUGCCUUCCACCACUUGGCUGCUGCUUCAAAACUCAAAACUUUCAAAAUGUUUUGACUGGCCUUGUUUCAUUUUGAGGCUGUAAAGACCAGUUAAACGGAAAAUAUAUCAUUGCUUGAUACUGGAAAGAUGAGGCUUUUAUCUGGAAAGAUGAGUCUGAAAAUCUGUUAGAAAUAAAAAGCAUUUGUUUAUUGUGGAAAUAUUCUUUCAGUCUGACUUGCAACAUCGUGUAUUUUCUCCUGAAUUCUGUCUGCUGAUUCAUUAUUAAUUUACUUUGUAUUGCAGGUUUAAACAGGUUCUUUAAUAUUCCUUAACUGAAACUACCCUUGUAGAAGGGUUUUUUUGUUUGUUUGUUCUCUUAAUGUCUUUUAAUGGUACAUUAAAACUUAAGAAUUCUACUGUUACUUAGUAUUCAUUAUAGAAACACAUAUGGCAUCCACUGUAAUAUCAAAUGAAUACAUAAUGAAAAGCAAAACUUUUCUGUGAUUUCCACAUGAAUCAACGAGGAUGAGCUACUAAGUGUUGCACUUAAUAACAUCAUGUUUAAUUUAAUUUAUGUAGCAAUGUUUGGACAUUAUAUUUAAAAUGUUUUUAGUAAAUCAUUGGGACUGUAACUGAAUCUCCAUUUCUGCAGCAAAUUGCACUGUAAACGUUAAAUUUAAUUUUUCUACAUAACAAUUAAUUUACACUGAAGCAUGUUUGCAAAGGGUGAAUACUUUGAUAUAUAUUCAAUAUUACUCCCUGAAUUAUGCAAUUCUACUAUGAAAACAAAUUAGGGCAGUUGACAAACUAUUUUUGUUCCCUUAGCUGUGUAGUAUUCCAGGCACCAGAAGAACAAUGUUAAUUACUAAACUCUGGACACGAUUUUUCUACCAUCCAUGCUAAAAAAAAUAUUGACAUACUGCUAAGAGGACUUAGGGUAGCUGGAAGUGGCAGAGAUAAAAAGGGCAUUUGGGCUACAUCCCCUGAAGCAGGCACAGGAAGCAUUUCUGUAUGUCUGAUGAGAGUGGCUACAGCCAUUCUACAUCACCCAAGAAUUCCCUUGCGCGAACAGUAUCCUUCUGUAGUUUGCUGAGCUAUCUUGGAACAGUUCCAAGUGCAAACACAGAGCAAUGUAAAGCAUCCCUAAUGCAGCCCAGGAUCUUGCAUUCAAUGUGUAAAUUAGCUGCAUUACUUGUAGUCUUCCCACGGGCGGGAGGUUGAAUCCAAUUGUGUCUCUCUGCUCUCCAAAUUUAGUGCCAUGGACAGAGUCCAAACAAACAGUCAAGGUUUGUAUAGCAGGAGUGAAUUUCACCAGAUGUGAACAUAUCACAUUAUAAAUAUCCAUUGGAGGCUCUUUUUGAGCCACUCUGAGAAGGUUUGAUAACUAGAGAAGUAUCUAACAAACAGCUGACCAGGAGUUUUAUUAGAAGAUCUGUAGACAAAGAAGGUUAUAAUGAUGAAUAUCUUCAUAACAAUAGCAGUACUCAUUUGUGUGAAUUGUUGAAAAAAUGCAAAUUCAGACCUUUAGUAAUUGCAUCUCAUGCUUUCAUUUUUGACAGCAGAAUGAAAGAGAAAUACUUUCUCUCUUGAAAAGUGUUAAAGAGGCUAUCAACAUUUUUUUUUCCUUUUCAAUAUGAUUUACUUCAUUCCUAUUAAAAGAAUUUAAUAAAUGAAGUCGGCGAAAAGAGGAUAGUUAUGGAGAACCCUUUAAUUUUGCUGGAGAAAGUUUUGCUUUGAUCAAUCACUCACAUGACUUUCGGACUCUAUUGUGUUCAUUUAAUUCAGCCUUAAUCUGUAUAAAGUAAAAUAUUAAAUUAAUGCCUGAUUAUGCCUAAACUAUGCAAGUGGAAUAUAUUAUAUGAAAUGCACACAAAAUACUUAUUUAUAACAAUACAGUUCAUCCUUGAAAGAGGAUAUAUGCUGCAGCAACCUGAAGCAUUCUGCUGAUUAGCAUGUACUGUAGAGUUCUGAUCUUAAGUCAACCUCGUUUUCUUUCAAUGGACCUAUAACAAUCAAACUAAAAUUAGAUGUUAUGUCAGUUUAUAAGUGAGCUCCCUACAGUUUUGACUUUUGUACUUGCAAUAAAUAUACCUAACCAAUUGUUUUUAAUGCAGCUAAAAGGGAGUUACAAGGGAGUUAGUCCCAAUUUACUCCUGGUGUUAAGAAAAGCAUCACUUCCAGUAAACGUAACUGAAAUCAUGGAAAUCACACCUGGAAGGUUCUAAAAAUUUGAAACUACAUACCUGACUAUCAUGAAAUACUAUUGCUGCAAUUAUAAGUUGACUCAACAUAUCAGUCUGUUCCAUUUUCAGAUUCAAUUUUAUGAAAAUACAGCAUUUUUCCUUGAAUAAAAAUUGAUUACUACAGAUAAAAGAUUUUGACUUGCUAUUGCCCUCAUAAAAUCCUGCAGGAGAAUCUUUCCUGGGUUGAUUCCCCAAUGGAAUUUAAAGUAAUUUAUAAAAACAGCAUGGCUCUUUUUUA